GGGUAUAGCUCAGUUGGUAGAGCACCGGUCUCCAAAACCGGGUGUCGUGAGUUCGAAUCUUACUGCCC
rnacentral:tRNA from 1 species